rnacentral:rRNA from 1 species
UGCCAGCCGCCGCGGUAAUACGUAUGGUGCAAGCGUUAUCCGGAAUCACUGGGCGUAAAGGGAGCGUAGGCGGUUUUGCAAGUCAGAAGUGAAAGGCUACGGCUCAACCCAGGAACUGCACUCGAAACUGCCUCGCUGGAGUCUCGGAGAGGGUGGCGGAAUUCCCGGUGUAGAGGUGAAAUUCGUAGAUAUCGGGAGGAACACCAGUGGCGAAGGCGGCCACCUGGAUGAUGACUGACGCUCAGACCCGAAAGCGUGGGGAGCAAACAGGAUUAGAUA